UACGGAGGGUGCAAGCGUUAUCCGGAUUCACUGGGUUUAAAGGGUGCGUAGGUGGGCAGGUAAGUCAGUGGUGAAAUCUCCGGGCUUAACUCGGAAACUGCCAUUGAUACUAUCUGUCUUGAAUACCUGGAGGUUAGCGGAAUAGUUCAUGUAGCGGUGAAAUGCUUAGAUAUGACAUAGAACACCAAUUGCGAAGGCAGCUGGCUACACGAAAUAUUGACACUGAUGCACGAAAGCUGGGGAUCAAACAGGAUAGAAACCCU
rnacentral:rRNA from 1 species